GGAUCCGCCUUGACUCUACUGGAGGAAAAAACGUCGGCGAUAUAGUCCGAAAAAUUUGUGUUUUCUGCUUGAAUAAAAAGUUUGCUCGAAACUUCAGUUGGGAAGGAAACAGAAGAAAUAUGUGUCUUAAAGACACAAUGCUUGGCAAAGUCAUGCUAGUUGUAAUCCUUAAAUAUGAAAAACCUAAAAUAAAAAGUCAUGAGGCGAUAUUGGCUAUUCAAAAUUGGCUGAAACAUGCAAAGGAUGGUAUGAAAGCAGAGUUGGCGGCGGCAGCGGCAGCAAAAAAAAAGGAGGAGAAUAAAAACAAUGAAAAAGAGGAUGAUUCCGAAGAAGACAGAAGGCCACUACCAUCUUCGUCCUCUGAUGAUGAAGAUUAAAAUUUUUUCGUUAUUCGAUUAAUAUGUACCAUGAUUGUUGAAAAUAAAAUUCAUGGAGUAACAAAAA